UCUUAUGAAUGAAUAGAGAAAGUAGUUUCUUGGGAUGGAGUCUACUCCUGGUGAAGGUCCUGUGAA
rnacentral:pre_miRNA from 1 species